GGAGUGGGCCGGGCGGCCGCGCGGGCGCGUACCUGUACGCGCGCGUGAGGAAAGUCCGGGCUCCACAGGGCAGGGUGCAGGCUAACGGCCUGGCGCCGCGAGGCGACGGAAAGUGCCACAGAAAAGAAGACUCCCCCGAUACCGCCCGGCGCGCCCCUUCGGGCUUGCCGGUACAGGUCGGGAGAAAAGCUGAAACGGUGCGGUAAGAGCGCACCAGCGCCAUGGUGACAUGGCGGCUUGGCAAACCCCACCCGGAGCAAGGGCGAAUAGGAGCGGUCAAGACCGGCCCGGUCAUCGCUCGGGUACGCCCGCAUCAGGCCGUCGGUAACGGCGGUCGCAGAUAGAUGGUCGUCCACGACAGAACCCGGCUUACAGGCCCACUCCGAGC
rnacentral:RNase_P_RNA from 1 species